CUGGUCCGAGUGCAGUGGUGUUUACAAUUAAUUGAU
rnacentral:scRNA from 1 species